rnacentral:rRNA from 1 species
GCACGGAAGUUAGCCGGCCGCCUUCUUCUCUCGGUACCGUCAUUCCUUCAGGCUAUUAACCCAAAGGCCAUUCGUCUCGAUCGAAAGGAGUUUACGAUCCGAAAAUCUUCAUCCUCCACGCGGCGUUGCGUCGUCAGGCUUGCGCCCAUUGCGAACAAUUCCCCA